UUAAAGUUCAUAAAUGUAUAGGCAGUCCAUAGCCAUAUAUUAUGUAUCUUAGUAGGCUAGUUUGGCCAGAAUUACUUGAUAUCCAGUUAUUUAUAUAUCCUAGGAAUUCUUUGUGUAUAAGGAUAUAUACACUGACUAUAGCAAAUUUGCUGUUAUUGAGAGUCCAGAUAUUUAAAUGGAUACAAAAGCUGCAGUCAUUAGAUCCUAAAUAUCCUGAUGUGUGCACUCACCAGGACCCGGUAUUAACCAUUUGCCGCUCUACUUCACUUUUAUACUGCUGGCGUAGUAUGGGGUUUAUACAAAUUACAGUGACCGGUAAGGUCAGUGCAAUGUCUUCACCUCACCUCGCCGCAGGCUGGAACGUGAUGCUUCUUAUUGAAUGGAGCGGCCGACGACUGUGGCUAUACACCGCAAGCUGUAUCUUUAGCCGGAACAAAGCUGGAUAUGUGGUCUCAGUCUGCUCGAGCCAGAACAAACCAAAUGUGGUAGGACAGCCCCCGGCUGAGAUCACCUGUCAUACAGCUGUGAUGCGCCCGUGUGUAGCUGGAUAUCUGGAACAGGUGGAAGCCAACAGUCCAAAACAAUCAGUUUACUCUGAGCACCAGUGCCAGUUUCCUUAACAUGUUUCUCUGUUAUAGCAUUAGAACGGUUUCAUCAGAAGGUAACAAGAUCUGUCACAUGUGGAUGAGGAGGAUGAAGAAAGCAGUCAGCAAGCAGAGGAUUUAGAGACAUCUGGCGACACUUGGAGUACAGCUGUAGGGAGGCAGGAUCUUCCACACAAUCUGCUACUGUAUGGCUGAAGUGGCCAUACAUAUCUUUACUGGAUGUAGUCAAGGCCAUUUUGCUAGGGUUCCAUUUGAUGUUUUAGUCACCGAUGAGGGGAGUAUGGUUGGCGUCUUGGAGGUGUGUCCAAAAUUUGGAUUGGUGGGACCGAAGAAACUACAGACAAUCUUCAUGGCGGGGUAGCCUGCUGUGGUUGGGACUGGACAUCGGACCUUGCUUUCUUUGUUGGCACGUGUUUUUUUUGUGUGUGGUUCAGGAGUCUGCCUUCUGCUGCUCCAGACUUCUUUUGAUGGACCUAGUAUUUAAAGUGUAAAAUUGGUAUGGCCAUUCCUUUACAAACAUAACCUGUACUACAAUGAACACUUUACCUGCUUCCGCAGCAUCAUCAUCAGAGGUCAUGGGACUGACUGUAGGAUGACCAGUAGUGCUUUUUUUCCAACACUGUAAAUGAUGAAACAAAUAAAAACUCAUUUAAUCAUGCUAUUGUUAAAACCACCCAUUAUGUUUAUAAACAUUACAUCUUUAAAAA